rnacentral:rRNA from 1 species
CCUACGGGUGGCAGCAGUGGGGAAUUUUGGACAAUGGGCGCAAGCCUGAUCCAGCUAUUCCGCGUGUGGGAAGACGGCCUUCGGGUUGUAAACCACUUUUGUAGAGAACGAAAAGUCCAUUGAUAAUACCGAUAGAUGAUGACGGUAUUCUAAGAAUAAGCACCGGACAACUACGUGCCAGCAGCCGCGGUAAUACGUAGGGUGCGGGCGUUAAUCGGAAUUACUGGGCGUAAAGGGGGUGCAGGCGGUAUUGCAAGAUGGAUGUGAAAGCCCCGGGCUUAACCUGGGAAAGGCAUACAUGACUGGAAGACUAGAGUGCGUCAGAGGGAGGUGGAAUUCCAAGUGUAGCAGUGAAAUGCGUAGAUAUUUGGAAGAACACCGAUGGCGAAGGCAGCCCCCUGGGACGCAACUGACGCUCAUACACGAAGGCGUGGGGAGCAAACAGGAUUAGAUACCCGAGUAGUC